AUGAAAAAUUUUAAAUAUAAUGCUAAUAAUUAAGUUACAAUAAAAUUAUAGGUUUUAUUGUUAGUGAGUUCUGGCCAAAGUAAACUCCCAAAAUGUCCUGUCAUGCCUUGAACAAACAUUCAGAUGAGGGCUGUGCCGGCUCUUCAGGUCAAGCCUCUACCUCAGCCUCAGCCCAGGAAGUUCACAUCCAGGGUCACAUAUCUCAGCAAGCCUCUGAGAUGGCACUGCAGGUAAGGAGACCCUGGUUACUUGACCCUUUGCUGGAUUACAGGUAGUUACCUGAUUCGGUGCCAUUGCAGGAUCAGAGGUGCCAAGCACCACAAAUCCACUAAGAUAACAAGCAUAAGGCCUUGGACCUUGUGUGGGGAAAGAAAUACCAUCAAGAGCCACCACCUUUCCUCUACAGAAUGAAGAAUCAUGAAAGACCCUUGAGGGGCGAGUUUUUGCACCAGGUGCUCAGCUGUUAUCCCUCAGACAGUGGUCUUCCAAACCCUCGAAGUCCUGCACCACAAGCUGACACAUGUGAUCAGGACUCCUGUGGACUCUCACACUCAACAGUCAAGACGGAGAUGUCUCUCGAAUCUCAGUCUCUCGCACAUCUCCCGAGUUCCUACCACUGGCAACCCUGCAGACAAAAAGAUGAAUAAAGAAAAGCACUCUGCCUGGAGCUUCAGGUUUAAGGGAAAAUGCAGAUCCACAUAUGGGUGGUUUCAGUGUUUCCUGUGAGUGACAUGACAGAGUUUAUCAGGUGCUCUUGGAACUCCAAAGCUGUCUCUGGAACAGGUGGACUGUGGCGCUGGAGAGGGAAAGACAAAAGCCACUCUCAUCUGGAGGGUCUCUAUGCCCCUGACCUUCCCUAAGAGUACCCAGUGUUAGAAGAACUUCUGGGAACUGGUGGGGCUCGGUAGAAGGCGUGAGAAGCAGACUUGGACGAAAUCCUUCAGCAACGUCAACUCGACCGUUAAGACUUGGGGUAAAUGGUGGAUAAAGCAGAUGCUUUCCCAGUCCAAACCCCUUCCGCACGAGAAGCCCUAGCCGAGAAAACGCAGCCUGCGCGGUGCUGCGAGGGAAGCUGACUCCCUUCAGGCCGGGUUGUCACACCACGGGGUACCCCCGGGGCUCGGCCACUCCACUUGGCUGCUCUUCUCCGCCCGCGCUCCAGGCCACCGCGCCCGACCUCCUAGCUCCGGCUCCCACCGGCAGCCUGGCCCGGACAGCCUCACCCCUCGGCCACCGCUUUCUGGGCGAAACUGCCAGGCAGCUCGGACAGGGCACUUCCUGGAGGGAUGCGACGGCGUGUGCCCUCUUAUCCUUUUUUUCCGUAGUAGCCCUGACGGGGGUAGGAUACGGGGGAAUCUUCACCCGGAGGUGGGGUGGGAGACCCCUGCUGGGUGCCCCCAGACGGGGGCGGGGCGGUGGUUCCGCUGCUGGGUGCCCCUUGCUCGGCAGGGUCGCAUUACCAGACACCAGAACCACGGCUCCGUUCGCCAAACCCGUAGGUGAGGCUCCGGCCCGAGAACCGCGCCCGCCUCCCGGCACAGGAGGCUCCGGCGCGGGAAGGCCAGACACAGCCCGCGGGGCCCAGGGGCUCGCUGCCCAACCUCUGCCCGGCCGCAGCGCGUUAUCUGUAAGGUUGCCCGCCACGUGGCCGCGGCUCCGCGCCCACCCGGCCGCACCCGCGCACCUGGAC